rnacentral:lncRNA from 1 species
CUCCCUCUCUCUGCAAACAGGUGGCUGUACAGGGCUUGGCAAAUAUUUCCUUAUUGCUCCCUUUACUUUCUCCGAGAGGAAGGUUGGGUGGUCCAGAGGAUUUCCCAGAUGGAGCAGCAGGCUUCCCAUGCCUGCCAUUUGCAUAAGGUAACAGAGUGAGACAAGAGCAGUUCUGGGACUGGCAGGCAGAGUUCCUUAGUGCCAUGCGCACAGUGGCAAGAUCCCUCAGGCACCUCAGGAGAGUGGGAUCAAGGCCGAGAGGGUAGGCGAAUGUCGGUACAUGAAUGGAUUUUGAAAUGGAGGCAGCACUUGUCAUGUGCCAGCUUCCUUUGGAAAAUGAUGCUACAGAGAUCCCAUCACUGGUUGGGUCUUGUCCAGCUGCUUUGUGGAGGGAAGGAUGAACAGGACAUGCUCUCCUUUGUGCCACCACCCCAGUCAGUGGCAAGGGGGGGAAAUGAGGAGACCUUCCAAUGUCUUCUCUACCAAGUGAAUCUCUGACUCUACAAGUUUCCUUCCCAAGACACUGUGGUCCAGGGCUACCUCCCUUACAGCCUACAUGACAACAUGUGCAAAUUAUUUGUCAGCAUCUAAUUGCAAGAACGGGAGCUGCCUGCCUAGAGGAAACAGGGAGCCUUUAGCCUGCUCCUCCAGGCUCAACAUUUGACAGGGGCAUGACCAUGUCCAGCAUUGCUGAGUAACUGGGAAGAGAAGCCCACUGUUGCUGCACACCCUACGCCAAGCCUUCAAACAGUCCCAGCAGUAAUCAAGGUGAUAUACUGACUUUUUUCUGACUGGCUCCUGUGUCUAUCUCUCUCAUUUUUUCUAACUUAGGCAAAGAAUGGGAAAGUCAUUUAUCAGGCCCCCCGAAAUCAUAUUGUUGAUCCUCUAAAUGACCUUAUCAAGUACGUACAAUCUUUAUUUGACAGAUGAAGACACUGAUGAACAGAAAGGUUAAAGAAUUUACUCAAGGUCAGUCAUCCAACAAAUGAGUUUAGAACCCAAACUUUUGGACCCCAAGUUAAAGCUCUUUCUCCGACUGCACUAUAAAGUAGGGGCUCAAUAAACGUGUGUUGAAAUGAAUCAAAACGGUGAGAGAAUAUUGCCAGGCAGCACAAAGCUUGGAUGAAAUUUUUCAAAAUUUUUGCUGGUGAUUUUAAGCUUCAGAUGAAGUCUUUGACAUUUACGAUUCUCUUAAUAAACACUUUAUAAAACUCCAAAUCCACGUUUCUGCCUUGAAGGAUCACCAUCAGUUGGAAUAUAUUUUUACGCUAUCCUCUGCCAUCUUUGAAGGAGGAACAGAUUAGGGAAAAAAUGCUUUAUUUACCAGUGUAAUUAGAAUGAAAAUAUAAUGUUUAACUUUCAUGGAGACAGACUGAAAUAUGAAUAGUCAUGUAGUUUUUUGAAAUUAAAUUUCUAUUCUAGGAGGCCAACACUCUACUCUCUCUGGCUUUCAAACUUCCACAUUAAGACUUGGGAAGUAAAAAUGCUUUGGGAAUGAAACUGGAUGAAUGGACAUGUUUGUGCCAGUAUUCUGGGGGGACUCUUUUUCCUCUCAAAAUCCCAGUAGAUCACUGGUCACGUUUAGAAUCUUCAAAUAUGUGCUAAAAAAAUGUUUUGGGGAGAAAACAAUCUCCCACUCUCCUUGCCGAGAUGGAAUUCCAAGAUUGUUGGGCAAGAUGAAGUAAACGAUUUUCAGGAGAAUCGCUGUUUUCCACACUGAAUUGACAUGCAUUUCUGCCUCACCUGGUUCCUACACACACCAGCCCCAACUAAUGUUAGGCUUUGAAUCACUGAAAUGCCUGCCACACCUUAACAGCAAAGAUUCAGACAAGAUAUUGAGUAAGCAAGUUUAUGAAUUUUUUUAAAGAGAAUGAUUUCUUAGUUAGACUUGUGUUCAACAAAAUAUUCUAGCAUGUGGUUUCACAAAUACAGGUGAACCAUCUGGCCAGCCUAGGUUAGCUCUCUGCUGUCAGUGCUGUAAAUCUUGCAUUCUCUUUCACUCAUGUUUCACACAUGGAAUUAACUCUUCUUUGUCCUCCUGUCCUGUUAUACAAUAGAAGCUCCAAGUCUUAUUCACAACUUUGAGUCUAGUGUGUGGCUGUAUAGAACAGAGAUUAAGAGCAUGGGUUCAAGGGUACGAUGGACCUGGAUUUGAAUUCAACCGAGCAACUUUUUGUGUGACUUAGAGGUAGUCACACCACAUUACUCAGUUUUCUCAUCUGUAAAUUGAUAAUAGUUCUUACCUCAUAGAACUAUUGUGAAAAUUAAAUUCACUCACAUAUGUAAAGCAUUUAGCUUGCCCCGGCAGUAAAUAUUCACUACUAUUAUUGCAUUAAGUGCUAAAAGAGUAUUUCAAGUAGAAUUUUUAAAAUAAGAGUGAGCCUAGGCACAGGGAAUGCAUCAAACUGGCCUCAUUAGGGAGAAUUCUCCAGCCAACUGGGAUAUUGCCUGACUGGGUUCUGGGAGGUCCUCAACUGAGACCACAAGGGGCAAAUGAGCAGAUCAUAAGCAGCCCUGGAGGCACCAGCUCUUAAGGUGUUAGCCCUCAUCUCCCCAGAGCAGUGGGAACUGAGUUACUCUGAGACUCUGUUCCCAAGAAGAAAGUGAUUCAGAGCAAAGGAGACAAGUUCCACUGUGGAGGAAGUGUGCCCAGGUCCCUCACCGGCCCCGGACAUGCCGUCUGGGAGGCUAUCAGCUCAGAGCCCACACCAGCUUCCUCUGCUAUUGUUCAGCACUCACCAUUCUUCUGAUAACCCGGCUGUGGGAACCACUGCCCAGACGCCGGGCCAACACAGAGGCACGACUACAGCUGGGAAGAGUCUCUCCUUCACAUGACGACUGAGCUCUGUAGGGGGUUGUGAUGGAGAAGACUGAGACGGGGCAAUCUAAGGCCCAAACGUGGCCCAGUGUUAAGCAUAUUGAGAAACCCAAUACCAAUCUGGUGAAUUGAAUAGUUUUGCAAAACUAAGGAAAAUUAACAGUCUCCACAAAAAAGUGUUUAUCCAAGUGUUAAAGUACUUAAUUGUUCUCAAAAAACCAAAUUGUCCCCAUUCUGAACAUUUUUUUGAACUUUCUCAAUUGCAGUUAGUCUUCUGGGACAUUGAAGAAGGCCUAGAACUCAAUCAAGGAACAAAAAUAUCUAAGCAUUGUAUUUAAAAAACAUGUGUUAGAGGUUUAUUACCUUAGGAGAUUUUUAAAUAUCAUUUAUCUGUUAAAUUUAGUUGUUGCAUCAGACAUUUUGCUCAUUUUUCCCUUUAAUAAUUAUAUCUUUAUACCACUAU